rnacentral:tRNA from 1 species
GCCUAAUUAGCUCAGCUGGUAGAGCACUUGGCUGUUAACCAAUAGGUCGUAGGUUCGAGUCCUACAUUAGGCGCCA